GCGCGCAGGCCGGGCCUGGCGAGACGCACUUCUGUGGUCGAAGUGGUGGCUUCAGGGUUGCCGGGCCACGAGGCGGGGCCGAGGCCGGGCAGCGGCAUCGGGGGCCCUGACGGCGCAGCCCAGUUGCAAGUCGAUCCUAGACCGCCAUGGAGCCAGGCAGCGUGGAGAACCUGUGCGUCGUGUACCGGAGCCGUGACUUCUUGGUGGUGAACAAGCACUGGGAUGUUCGCAUCGACAGCAAGGCCUGGUGGGAGACGCUGACCCUACAGAAGCAGCUGCGGCACCGCUUCCCGGAGCUGGCCGACCCUGACACCUGCUACGGGUUCAGGUACCCACAGCAGCCUCCAUUGGUGGGAACGGCCCCCAGCCCAGCCACCGCUGAUCCUCUGCCCCACGCCAGGUUCUGCCACCAACUGGACUUCUCCACCAGCGGGGCACUCUGUGUGGCCCUGAACAAGGCAGCUGCAGGCAGUGCUUACAAGUGCUUCAAGGACCGGCAAGUCACCAAGGCUUAUCUGGCUCUGGUGCGGGGACACGUCCAGGAGAGCCAGAUGACCAUCAGCUAUGCUAUCGGCAAGAACAGCACAGAAGGCCGAACCCACACCAUGUGCAUUGAGGGCACACAGGGCUGCGAGAACCCAAAACCAAGCCUCACGGAGCUGGUGGUCCUGGAACAUGGGCUGUAUGCAGGUGAUCCUGUCUCCAAAGUGCUGCUGCAGCCUCUCACAGGCCGGACGCACCAGCUGCGUGUGCACUGCAGCGCCCUCGGCCACCCCAUCGUGGGGGACCUGACCUACGGCCAGGCCUUGGGCCAGGAGGACCAGCCCUUCCGCAUGAUGCUCCAUGCCUUCUACCUGCGCAUCCCCACGAGCACUGAGUGCGUGGAGGCCUGCACGCCCGACCCCUUCGUGCCUGUCCUCGAUGCCUGCUGGAGCCCCCACACCCUGGUGCAGCCACUGGAUGAGCUCGUCCAGGUCCUGCGGGCUCCCCCACACCCGGACCCCACAGGAGGGCUCCCCAGGCCCUGCAGCCCCUCCACACCCCUGCCCAGGCCAGGCCGGCCCCCACCGCCCCCUGCCAAGCCCCCUGAGACAGAGGCACAGCGGGCCUCCUGCCUGCAGUGGCUGUCGGAGUGGACGCUGGAGCCAGACAAUUGAGAGCAUCAUGCUGAGGUGGGGAUGGCAGGCUGGGACCCAGAGGGGCAGGAACUGCAGGUCAGAGCCCUGGGCCCAUCCCUGCAGCGGCCAAGCCUGGAGCGGGGCCGGCAGGGCCAGCAGGGGGAGCCAGGCAGCUGUGAUUCCAGAGGCUGGAGCUCUUGGGCUGUGGGAUGCCCAUGGGCCUCCCUCCCAACAACCCCCCCCCCAAACUGCUGGCCUCCCUGGUCCUAGAGCCUCAUCCCCAGGGGCUGACUUGUAGACUUGUUGGGGGUCACUCUGGAAGAGGCGGAGCCAGGACCUGGGCCAGCCUCAAUGCGAGCUCCUCCUGGGCCCCCAGCCCACACCCAGAGCACCCUGCUCCACACUGCUCUGCUUGGAUCCUCUGUGUCCAUCACGCCAGUCUGUCUGGGUCCUCCAUCUGCAGACUUCGACCUUCCCUGCCAGGCCAGUCCGACCUUGUGCCUUUGCUUCUGCCAGACUCUGCCCCCUCCACCCGCAUCCUCAGUGUGUCGUUUGGAGGACAAAGUCAAUUUUCUUCAGCCAGCCGGCACCACUGCUGUCCCCCCACCCUCA